CAACUCCGGCUUCAUGUACGGCGGGUUGCAGCCUACAAUCCGAACUACGAACGGCUUUUUAGGAUUGGCUCCGCCUCGCGGCUUCGCGACCCAUUGUACCGCCCAUUGUAGCGUGUGCGUAGCCCUGGAUAUAAAGGCCAUGCUGACUUGACGUCAUCCCCACCUUCCUCCCGUUUCUCACGGGCAGUCGGUCUAGACACGUGUAACUAGACCCGAGGGUUGCGCUCGUUUUCGGACUUAACCGAACAUCCCACGACACGAGCUGACGACAGCCAUGCAGCACCUGUAGAGGCUCCCGAAGGUCGGUCCCCUUUCGGUUCCCUACCACCCCUAUGUCAAACCCAGGUAAAGUUCUUCGUGUAGCCUCGAAUUAAACCACACGCUCCGCUAAGGGCGAAUUCUGCAGAUAUCCAUCACACUGACGGCCGCUCGAGCAUGCAUCAGAGGGG
rnacentral:rRNA from 1 species